rnacentral:tRNA from 1 species
GCUCGCGUAGCUCAGUUGGCAGAGCAGCGGAUUCUUAAUCCGCGGGUCGUAGGUUCGAGCCCUACCGCGAGUACCA